AGAACGAACGCUGGCGGCAGGCCUCAAACAUGCAAGUCUAGGGGGUGUAGCAAUACAUCACCGGCGGACGGGUGCGUAACACGUGGGAAUAUACCUUUUGGUUCGGAACAACGCAGGGAAACUUGCGCUAAUACCGAAUGUGCCCUUACGGGGAAAGAUUUAUCGCCAAAGGAUUAGCCCGCGUAGGAUUAGCUAGUUGGUGAGGUAAUGGCUCACCAAGGCUCCGAUCCUUAGCUGUUCUGAGAGGAAGAUCAGCCACACUGGGACUGAGACACGGCCCAGACUCCUACGGGAGGCAGCAGUUGGGAAUCUUGGACAAUGGGGAAACCCUGAUCCAGCCAUGCCGCGUGAGUGAUGAAGGCCUUCGGGUUGUAAAACUCUUUCGACGGGGACAUAAUGGACGGUACCCGUAGAAGAAGCUCCGGCUAACUUCGCGCCAGCAGCCGC
rnacentral:rRNA from 1 species